rnacentral:rRNA from 1 species
UACGUAGGGGGGCGAGCGUUGUCCGGAAUCAUUGGGCGUAAAGCGCGUGUAGGCGGCCCGGUAAGUCCGCUGUGAAAGUCCAGGGCUCAACCCCUGGGGAUGCCGGUGGAUACUGUCGGGCUCGAGUCCGGGAAGAGGCGAGUGGAAUUCCUGGUGUAGCGGUGAAAUGCGCAGAUAUCAGGAGGAACACCCGUAGCGAAGGCGGCACUCUGGGCCGAUACUGACACUGAGGAGCGAAAGCGUGGGGAGCGAACAGG